UGGCGAACGGGUGAGCAACACGUGGGUGAUCUGCCCUGCACUCUGGGAUAAGCCUGGGAAACUGGGUCUAAUACCGGAUAGGACCAUGCUUUAGUGUGUGUGGUGGAAAGUUUUUUCGGUGUAGGAUGAGCCCGCGGCCUAUCAGCUUGUUGGUGGGGUAAUGGCCUACCAAGGCGGCGACGGGUAGCCGGACUGAGAGGUUGGUCGGCCACAUUGGGACUGAGAUACGGCCCAG
rnacentral:rRNA from 1 species